rnacentral:rRNA from 1 species
UACAGAGGUCCCAAGCGUUACUGAGAAUCACUGGGUUUAAAGGGUGCGUAGGUGGUCCGUUAAGUCAGUUGUGAAAUCCCCGGGCUCAACCCGGGAACUGCUUCUGAUACUGGCGGACUUGAGGCCAGUAGGGGUCACUAGAACUGACGGUGGAGCGGUGAAAUGCGUAGAUAUCGUCAGGAAUGCCGGUGGUGAAGACGGGUGACUGGGCUGGUUCUGACACUGAGGCACGAAAGCGUGGGGAGCGAACGGGG